AAAAUAUAUUUAUUAUUGAGAUUAUUAAUUCAUUUCACAUUUAAUUAUGAUAAUAUUCAUUUUAAUUAAUGCACUUCAUUCUUCAUUAUGGUAAUAUUUAUCAUUAACUAAUGUUUCUUAUAUGUGCAAUUAGGACACACGUUAGAAAAUCCUUUUGUAAAAAAUAGUUUCCCUCUUUUCUUAUUUUUGCAUUUUUAACUGUUAUUUUUUAUUUAUAAACGCCUCUAGAGUUACAAAGGAAAUAUAUUUUUUAUUUUGUAAUUUUCCUUACAUUCUUUUCUGAUGAUAAUGUUUUUAAAACUAUACCUAUGAACAAACAUAUGAGAAUUUAUUUUGGAUUCCAAGUAUGGGUCUAAAACCCAAAACUUGUUCGAAUUACCAAUUUCUGGUUCUAUACCCACUUUACCCGAUCUGAUACUCGGAAUCGAACGGAACCGGAUCGCUUAUAUCGAUUCUGUUCUCGGGUCUUAUAUCCUUCAAUUUUGGAUUCCAAGUACGGAUCCAAUCGGGUCGAGUUUGGACCAACUUUUAUCCCUCGCACGUGUUUAUAUAUAAUAUAAAACUAUGACAAGUGUAACACCCGUAUUUUUAGAAAAACUUUCAAAAUUUUAUCAGAGUUUACAAAAAUUAGUGUUAGAAAAAGAUAGUCACAACCACAAUAUAACGAAAGAUAUAGUACAUAUUCGAGAUUAUUCUAAGUCGACCAAAAGAUCUUUACUAGAAUGUACACUUCUAAUCCUUAGCUCCUGAUCCUGAGUACAUAGCAAUUUAACAAAACAUAAGACUUAAGUCAAAAGAUUAGUGAGAUACAUGAGUCUAGACUCAACAAUAAUAAUAUGAUCAUACUCUUUAAGAAUAUCACAAACUUUAACAAUUUAUAAAAUCAAUCAUCUACAUAAACUUAUAGGUUACAUGUAUCAUAUGGAUUGUCUAUACCCAUUGUCAGUUAACUAUCAACUCCUUAUUAAUCAUGGGAGAGCUAAUGACGUUGUAAUUGAUAGAGAUUCUUUACCACUUGACAACUACUUUGUGACAGGAAGUACCAUCCUAGUAGUGUUUCAUUCUUCCCAUAACGGGACAUGUCCAGAGCUUUCAUAACCAUGAAUGUGUUCAUAAAUUUAAAACAUAAA
rnacentral:lncRNA from 1 species